GAUGAACGCUAGCGGCAGGCUUAAUACAUGCAAGUCGUGGGGCAGCAUGACUGUAGCAAUACAGUUGAUGGCGACCGGCAAACGGGUGCGGAACACGUACACAACCUUCCUUUAAGUGGGGAAUAGCCCAGAGAAAUUUGGAUUAAUACCCCGUAACAUAGUGAAAAGGCAUCUUUUUAUUAUUAUAGCAGCAAUGCGCUUAAUGAUGGGUGUGCGGCUGAUUAGAUAGUUGGCGGGGUAACGGCCCACCAAGUCUGCGAUCAGUAUCUGGUGUGAGAGCACGACCAGUCACACGGGCACUGAGACACGGGCCCGACUCCUACGGGAGGCAGCAGUAAGGAAUAUUGGUCAAUGGACGCAAGUCUGAACCAGCCAUGCCGCGUGGAGGAUGAAGGUCCUCUGGAUUGUAAACUUCUUUUAUAUGGGACGAAAAAAGGUCUUUCUAGAUCAACUGACGGUACCAUAUGAAUAAGCACCGGCUAACUCCGUGCCAGCCGCCGCAGUAACAC
rnacentral:rRNA from 1 species